UAGAAAUUCAAUAGAAUGUAAUAAGCUUUUGUCUCUUGAAAAAAUCAAUCUUUCUAUUGACUUCCACUGGCAUUUGUUCAACAUUCAAGUUCUCUUAUUUGGUAAUUGACAUCAAAGAAAUGCAAUCAACUCCUUACAUUGUAAAUCUUAUCCCUUCUAUUGUGGUGAUAAAUCAAUAUAUGUCACAGAGAUCAUGAUGAGAUAGAACUUUCAUACACGAAGUAUAACUUUCAGGAAAAAGAAAGUUUGCCAUUGACCAAUGGCCAUGAUGAUUAAAGUACAAUGUUGAAUGGGGAAGGUCAUGUAAAUAUAGAAAUAGAGCUGGCUCCAAUUCUUAGCAAUAAGGAUUAUCCAGGAAUAUACAAUUUUAAUAUUGAGUUUGAGCCCACAGUUUAUCCAAUAACCAAGCAACACCGUGUCUUUACGUUGAAGAACGUAAAAAGUUAUUUGUUAAGAUGCAAUGUGUCAUUCAAUAAUGUUUAAAAUAAA